rnacentral:rRNA from 1 species
UACGUAGGGUGCGAGCGUUAAUCGGAAUUACUGGGCGUAAAGGGUGCGCAGGCGGUUAUAUAAGACAGAUGUGAAAUCCCCGGGCUCAACCUGGGAACUGCGUUUGUGACUGUAUGACUAGAGUACGGUAGAGAGGGGUGGAAUUCCUGGUGUAGCAGUGAAAUGCGUAGAUAUCAGGAGGAACAUCGAUGGCGAAGGCAGCCCCUUGGACCUGUACUGACGCUCAUGCACGAAAGCGUGGGGAG